rnacentral:tRNA from 1 species
GCCGUGGUGGCGGAAUGGUAGACGCGUCGGACUCAAAAUCCGAUGAAGGCAACUUCGUGUGGGUUCGAGUCCCACCCUCGGUACCA